AUUGAACGCUGGCGGCAGGCCUAACACAUGCAAGUCGAGCGGGGUUUUCGGACCUAGCGGCGGACGGGUGAGUAAUGCGUAGGAAGCUACCCGAUAGAGGGGGAUACCAGUUGGAAACGACUGUUAAUACCGCAUAAUGUCUACGGACCAAAGUGUGGGACCUUCGGGCCACAUGCUAUCGGAUGCGCCUACGUGGGAUUAGCUAGUUGGUGGGGUAAUGGCUCACCAAGGCGACGAUCCCUAGCUGGUUUGAGAGGAUGAUCAGCAACGCUGGAACUGAGACACGGUCCAGACUCCUACGGGAGGCAGCAGUGGGGAAUAUUGGACAAUGGGCGCAAGCCUGAUCCAGCCAUGCCGCGUGUGUGAAGAGGGCCUUCGGGUUGUAAAGCACUUUCAGUAGGGAGGAAGGGUGUUGUGUUAAUAGCACAGCAUUUUGACGUUACUCGCAGAAGAAGCACCGGCUAACUCUGUGCCAGCCGCCGCGGUAACAC
rnacentral:rRNA from 1 species